GUUCUUCCGCCAGCGCCCAUCGUGAAGACCACAGUUUCCUGUCGCGUGGAUGUGUUUCCUCUCUGGCCAUUGCCAUCCGCCCAAAUCUACAGACAUCCCGCAUGUUCCCGGGCUCGUCUCCCCAAUACAGGGCACCAAGGCUGUAGACUGCGCAGCCCUCCUGGAGACAGAUGGAAGCUCCUUGGGUCGACAGAUUACAGCUUCUGGAACCCCCUACUCCCUUCAACUCCGAGAUGGACACCCACUGUCCAGGGAGAGGAUGCCUGGAAAUAACAGCUGGGAUCUACAGUGGCCAAAGAGUUGUCUCCGUCUUGCUACAUCGACAAACUGGUGCUCCUGAGUGAGGAUUGUGCCCUGGGAUGGGGGAUUCAGUUUCUUCAUUUAUAGUUGGAAGUGGGUGAAGCCACUUCGGAAGCGUUUUCCUCUCCACUCUGACAACAGGCAAGAGUGAGGGUCCAACAAUACAGAGGAAGUAACGUGUCGCUGCUACUCUUCCAUGCCCAGUGCCAGGAGCGACGGUACACUCCAGAGUGCUGUGCCCUGAUGGGCCUUUGAGUGGCCAGUGCAGUGGAUCAUCAGCCCUGUCUCCCAAGAGCUCCAGUCCCUUCUCCGGAGAGGAAGUGGGUCCACUGGCAGCUCAGGAGGCCAUAGCAGAUUGUGGGGCUCUGUGCAGUUGAUGUUAGUUAACCACUGGAUCCACGUGUUCACCGUGGCUUGCGCCCCUGCAUCCGAAAGUGAUCUUGGCUGCCGUGUCCUGGUCAUUGGUAGUGCAGGGAAAGGAUGCGGAAAGACGGGCUCCGAGCUCGGGGCGUCUGGCCUGGAGCUUUCCUACACUUGUGUCUUGCUCUGCAGCCUUACGGAAGUGUGGGUGGCGCUUUCUGGAAGCUGCACAAGUCAGUGCUGGGUCUUCGCAACUUGGUGUUCUGUUUCCAGAAACUUGGGGUGUUUGCAUGUGCUAGGUCAGCACAGAUUUCCAAAGGAUCUCUAGCUAAUAGCUGUGUCUUGGUUCCUGGUGAGAUCUUGGUUGACUCGGGGGUCCUGAGUGUGGCUUGUCUCUGCAGGAUUGUCACGUGUGCUCAACAGUCCUCCUCGGCUUUCCAGAAGAGGCUGGAACAGGGCCCUUGAAGAUGUUUGUGGACAUCAGAGGGCCAAAGACGACACAAAGUGAAACUGGAGACACCGCCCCCCCUUGGCAUCAUGAAACUGCCGAUGUUACUGGCUCAUGCAUGGGAGACACCAGCAUACAAAGUCUUGACACCAACACCUCAGAGGGCUGUGUUCUGUCCCCGUGACCAUCAUCUAGUGCCUGGAAAGACUAGUGACAAGAACUUGUUGCCAACUUCCUAUUACCUCCCUAACAGUUGUGCAAUAAACCCCAUAGGUUAAUUCA
rnacentral:lncRNA from 1 species